rnacentral:rRNA from 1 species
GACGAACGUUGGCGGCGUGCUUAACACAUGCAAGUCGAACGGAAAGGCCCUGCUUUUGUGGGGUGCUCGAGUGGCGAACGGGUGAGUAACACGUGAGUAACCUGCCCUUGACUUUGGGAUAACUUCAGGAAACUGGGGCUAAUACCGGAUAGGAGCUCCUGCUGCAUGGUGGGGGUUGGAAAGUUUCGGCGGUUGGGGAUGGACUCGCGGCUUAUCAGCUUGUUGGUGGGGUAGUGGCUUACCAAGGCUUUGACGGGUAGCCGGCCUGAGAGGGUGACCGGCCACAUUGGGACUGAGAUACGGCCCAGACUCCUACGGGAGGCAGCAGUGGGGAAUAUUGCACAAUGGGCGGAAGCCUGAUGCAGCGACGCCGCGUGCGGGAUGACGGCCUUCGGGUUGUAAACCGCUUUCGCCUGUGACGAAGCGUGAGUGACGGUAAUGGGUAAAGAAGCACCGGCUAACUACGUGCCAGCAGCCGCGGUGAUACGUAGGGUGCGAGCGUUGUCCGGAUUUAUUGGGCGUAAAGGGCUCGUAGGUGGUUGAUCGCGUCGGAAGUGUAAUCUUGGGGCUUAACCCUGAGCGUGCUUUCGAUACGGGUUGACUUGAGGAAGGUAGGGGAGAAUGGAAUUCCUGGUGGAGCGGUGGAAUGCGCAGAUAUCAGGAGGAACACCAGUGGCGAAGGCGGUUCUCUGGGCCUUUCCUGACGCUGAGGAGCGAAAGCGUGGGGAGCGAACAGGCUUAGAUACCCUGGUAGUCCACGCUGUAAACGGUGGGUACUAGGUGUGGGGUCCAUUCCACGGGUUCCGUGCCGUAGCUAACGCUUUAAGUACCCCGCCUGGGGAGUACGGCCGCAAGGCUAAAACUCAAAGGAAUUGACGGGGCCCCGCACAAGCGGCGGAGCAUGCGGAUUAAUUCGAUGCAACGCGUAGAACCUUACCUGGGUUUGACAUGGAUCGGGAGUGCUCAGAGAUGGGUGUGCCUCUUUUGGGGUCGGUUCACAGGUGGUGCAUGCCUGUCGUCAGCUCGUGUCGUGAGAUGUUGGGUUAAGUCCCGCAACGAGCGCAACCCUUGUUCACUGUUGCCAGCACGUUAUGGUGGGGACUCAGUGGAGACCGCCGGGGUCAACUCGGAGGAAGGUGGGGAUGACGUCAAGUCCUCAUGCCCCUUAUGUCCAGGGCUUCACGCAUGCUACAAUGGCUGGUACAGAGAGUGGCGAGCCUGUGAGGGUGAGCGAAUCUCGGAAAGCCGGUCUCAGUUCGGAUUGGGGUCUGCAACUCGACCUCAUGAAGUCGGAGUCGCUAGUAAUCGCAGAUCAGCAACGCUGCGGUGAAUACGUUCCCGGGGCU